rnacentral:rRNA from 1 species
UAGGGAAUCUUCCGCAAUGGACGCAAGUCUGACGGAGCAACGCCGCGUGAGUGAAGAAGGAUUUCGGUUCGUAAAACUCUGUUGUUAGAGAAGAACAGCGCAUAGAGUAACUGUUAUGCGUGUGACGGUAUCUAACCAGAAAGGGACGGCUAACUACGUGCCAGCAGCCGCGGUAAUACGUAGGUCCCGAGCGUUGUCCGGAUUUAUUGGGCGUAAAGCGAGCGCAGGCGGUCAAUUAAGUCUGAUGUGAAAGCCCCCGGCUCAACCGGGGAGGGUCAUUGGAAACUGGUUGACUUGAGUGCAGAAGAGGAGAGUGGAAUUCCAUGUGUAACGGUGAAAUGCGUAGAUAUAUGGAGGAACACCAGUGGCGAAGGCGACUCUCUGGUCUGUAACUGACGCUGAGGCUCGAAAGCGUGGGUAGCAAACAGG